UACGGAGGGGGCUAGCGUUGUUCGGAUUUAUUGGGCGUAAAGAGCGUGUAGGCGGCCAGGUAGGUCUGCUGUGAAAACUCGAGGCUCAACCUCGAGACGUCGGCGGAAACCAUCUGGCUAGAGUCCGGAAGAGGAGAGUGGAAUUCCUGGUGUAGCGGUGAAAUGCGCAGAUAUCAGGAAGAACACCCGUGGCGAAGGCGGCUCUCUGGGACGGUACUGACGCUGAGGAGCGAAAGCGUGGGGAGCGAACAGG
rnacentral:rRNA from 1 species